rnacentral:rRNA from 1 species
UCCCGUUGAUCCUGCGGGAGGUUGCUGCUAUUAGGGUUCGACUAAGCCAUGCAAGCCAUGGGACCCGCAAGGGGACCGGCAAACUGCUCAGUAACACGUCGAUAAUCUGCCUUCGGGUCUGGGACAACCUUGGGAAACUGAGGCUAAACCCGGAUAGAGGAUUUGUCCUGGAACGGUUUAUCCUCCGAAAAGUAAUGCCCGAAGAUGGGUCGGCGGCUGAUUAGGUAGUUGGUGAGGUAAUGGCCCACCAAGCCUUAGAUCAGUAGGGGCCUUGAGAGAGGGAGCCCCGAGAAGGGCACUGAGAUACUGGCCCUAGCCCUACGGUGCAGCAGGCGCGGAAACUCUACAAUGCACGAAAGUGUGAUAGGGGAACCCUAAGUGCCUAUGUUUUACAUAGGCUUUUAUCAAGAGUAAAUAUCUUGGUGAAUAAGUGGUGGGUAAGACUGGUGCCAGCAGCCGCGGUAACCCCAGCGCCACAAGUGGCAGCCACAAUUAUUGGGCCUAAAGCGUCCGUAGCCGGUUCUGUAAAUCCUUUGUGAAAUCAUCAUGCUCAACAUGAUGGCGUGCAGGGGACACUGCAGGACUUGGGACCGGGAGGAGUCAGGGGUAUUCCAGGGGUAGCGGUAAAAUGUUAUAAUCCUUGGAGGACCACCUGUGGCGAAGGCGCCUGACUAGAACGGAUUCGACGGUGAGGGACGAAAGCUAGGGGAGCGAACCGGAUUAGAUACCCGAGUAGUCCUAGCUGUAAACGCUGCGAGCUAGGUGUUGCGUAUUCUUAGAGAGUACGCAGUGUCGAAGCGAAGGUGUUAAGCUCGCCGCCUGGGAAGUAUGGUCGCAAGGCUGAAACUUAAAGGAAUUGGCGGGGGAGCACCACAAGGGGUGCGGCGUGCGGUUUAAUCUAAUUCAACGCAGAGCAUCUCACCAGGAGCGACGGCAGGAUGAAAGUCAGGUUAAAGGCCUUUCUUGACGAGCCGAGAGGUAGUGCAUGGCCGUCGUCAGCUCGUGCCGUAAGGUGUCCUGUUAAGUCAGGUAACGAGCGAGACCUGUAUCUACAAUUGCCAGCGAACGGUUUCCGGGAUCGGGCACAUUGUAGGGACUGCCCUCGAAAGGGGGAGGAAGGCGCAGGCCACGGUAGGUCUGUAUGCUCCGAAUCUUCUGGGCUACACGCGCGCAACAAUGGUAAGGACAAUGGGAUACGACUCCGAAAGGAGAAGUCAAGCCUCUAAACCUUAUCCAAGUCCAGAUUGAGGGUUGUAACUCACCCUCAUGACAUUGGAAUCCCUAGUAAUCGGAUCUCAUCACAGUCCGGUGAAUAUGUCCCUGCUCCUUGCACACACCGCCCGUCAAACCAACCGAGCAGGGUCUAGAUGAGGCAUGGUUUCUUGAUCAUGUCGAAUCUUGACUCAGUGAGGUGGGUUAAGUCGUCACAAGGUA